CCUACGGGUGGCCGCAGUGGGGAAUAUUGCACAAUGUGGGAAACCCUGAUGCAGCGACGCCGCGUGAGUGAUGAAGUAUUUCGGUUUGUAAAGCUCUGUCAGCAGAGAAGAAAAUGACGGUAUCUGACCAAUAAGCCCCGGCUAACUACGUGCCAGCAGCCGCGGUAAUACGUAGGGGGCAAGCGUUACCCGGAUUUACUGGGCGUAAAGGGAGCGUAGGCGGCAGUGUAAGUCUGGAGUGAAAUGCGGGAGCUUAACCCCCGAACUGCACUGGAAACUGCGAGGCUGGAGUGCAGGAGAGGUAAGUGGAAUUCCUAGUGUAGCGGUGAAAUGCGUAGAUAUUAGGAGGAACACCAGUGGCGAAGGCGGCUUACUGGACCGUAACUGACGUUGAGGCACGAAAGCGUGGGGAGCAAACAGGAUUAGAUACCCGUGUAGUC
rnacentral:rRNA from 1 species